GACUCUGUGGCGCAACGGCAGCGUGUCUGACUCCAGAUCAGAAGGUUGCGUGUUCAAAUCACGUCA
rnacentral:tRNA from 1 species